rnacentral:rRNA from 1 species
AUGGAAGAAGAAAUUGAUGAAACUGUGAGCUCAUUGGAUGAAAAAGAUGAUGAGGAGAGCGAAGAACAAAAGGAAGAAGAGCGGAUUGAUCACUCGUGCCCACCUUCUAAUGAGAGUAACUCUUCAACUCAUACAUUGGUUAAUUCCCCUUCGUUCUUACCGAAGGAUGAAUGCUAUGAUAAUUACCAUGAUCCUGUUGAUUCUUUUGAAAUAUCCCUUUUUGAUGAACUUGAUGAUUGCUAUGUUUGUGGCCAAGAUGCCAAUAUGAAUUAUGCUUAUGGAGAUGAACUUUCUAUAGUUCCUUAUAUUAAGAAUGAAAUUGUUGCGUUCUACUUCUACCACUACACAUGA